rnacentral:rRNA from 1 species
UAUAAUCCUUCUUUAUGAAACAAAAAAUUAUAGACAUCUAACAUUCAU